rnacentral:rRNA from 1 species
AUGAGGGGAUCUCGAACUGAGCCUGUGGAUGUCAGUUCUGAUGGAAGCGCCGACAGCGGCUCUGACGAAAACUUGGACAGCAGCUCAGAUGGAUCGGGUUAUAGCUCCUCCUAUGAAGGAGCAUCCAUGAGCUCUGAUGGAGUGGUGUACAUCAUCUCUGAUGAAGGGAAGCUCAUAAGCUCUGAUGAAGGUGAGUACAAUAGUCCAGAUGAGGGCGCCUACACCAGCUCUGAUGAAGACAUGAGCAACAGCUCUGAUGAAGGCGCUCACACCAUUCGUGCUAAAGGUGUUCAUAGGCGCAUGAAGGAGAAGAAGCCCUGGAAAGCAUGCAUGAACAUCUGUGAUUGCCCUAAAGAGUACACAGUUGUACUUUUCUGCUUUGUUUACGAAGCAGUAUCUAGCGGAUUUCAUUGCUACUCCUGUUGA